rnacentral:rRNA from 1 species
GACGAACGCUGGCGGCGUGCUUAACACAUGCAAGUCGAACGGAAAGGCCCUGCUUUUGUGGGGUUCUCGAGUGGCGAACGGGUGAGUAACACGUGAGUAACCUGCCCUUGACUUUGGGAUAACUUCAGGAAACUGGGGCUAAUACCGGAUAGGAGCUCCUGCUGCAUGGUGGGGGUUGGAGAGUUUCGGCGUUUGGGGAUGGACUCGCGGCUUAUCAGCUUGUUGGUGGGGUAGUGGCUUACAAAGGCUUUGACGGGUAGCCGGCCUGAGAGGGUGACCGGCCACAUUGGGCCUGAGAUACGGCCCAGACUCCUACGGGAGGCAGCAGUGGGGAAUAUUGCACAAUGGGCGGAAGCCUGAUGCAGCAACGCCGCGUGCGGGAUGACGGCCUUCGGGUUGUAAACCGCUUUCGCCUGUGACGAAGCGUGAGUGACGGUAAUGGGUAAAGAAGCACCGGCUAACUACGUG